GCUACACCCUGCAAGAUCAUGAUCAUUAGCUGCACUUUACAGGAGAGGAAGCUGAGGCUCAGAGAAGCAAACUGCCCUCCUACUUAUGUUGAAGACUUUCCCAUCCUAUGAGCCCAGGUGGGAGAAGCUGAAAAUGGCAGAAGGUCACUUUUCCAGCUGCCCUGUGCCUGGUGAGCCUGUGAUACAGACCCCAUUGCUCAUAUAUCCACCCAGUUUGGUGCCAUAAGUGGUAGGCAGGUUGCAAACUCUGCGCUUAUGUGCCUCAAGAGACAGGGCUCUGGAUGUACGAGGUCAAGGCUGUCUGAAGAAUAUGAAUAUAGUAGAGAUAAGGAGGAUUUUCCAGUGAUUGAAGAGAGACUUCCUAGUCAAGGUCUGUGGUUUUGGAGCAGAGCAGCAGGGUCGUGUUCCCUGUCUCUGGCAGUACUCUGAACAUUGGCAGGACCUCAGAGUGGUGGCCCAAGGUGCCUAGGGUGCCAGCCUUGCCAAAGCUUCCCUUCAAUCAGCUUGGUGAGGAAGGAGAAGGGGCUGAGGCAGUGGGAUUCUCAGUGGUAAUCCAGGGCGAACCAAUGUUCCAUAAUAAUAUUAAAGGGACCUCCCUAUGUCUGAGCCCUGUGUCCUACCUUAGGACCAUGGCAGAACUCCUUGUGGGGAGAGGGAAGAGAAAUCCCUAUGAAUCACUCAGGCUGAAUUUCUCACCAACCCAGCAAGAUGGAAGCUCAGAGUCGAAAUCAAGUUGAUUAAUAAAACAUUUUAAAAGAAA
rnacentral:lncRNA from 1 species